rnacentral:rRNA from 1 species
CUGUGUUCACACGGCGAGACCGCGRACGGCUCAUUAAAUCAGUCGUGGUCCAAAUGGGCCAGUGCAAAUCCUACUUGGAUAACUGUGGUAAUUCCAGAGCUAAUACAUGCAACUGAUAUCCCGAAGGCGGUGUUUGUUCUUGCUUGCCUUGCGCUGGCGCUGCUCUGACGGAUGCUUUUAUUAGACCAAGCCGCUGAGGACUUGAGGGUUCGCGCUCUCUUGUUUGACUCGUGUGAUGGUGACUCUGGAUAACCAAAUUCUGACAAGCGCACGUACUUCUCUUCUGAGCGAGACGGCGCUGCCACUUUCGAGUGUCUGCCUUAUCAGCUAUCAACCGUUCGUUAUGCGCGACCGAUGGCUUUGACGGGUAACGGGGAAUCAGGGUUCGAUUCCGGAGAGGCAGCCUGAGAGACGGCUACCACGUCCAAGGACGGCAGCAGGCACGCAAAUUACCCAAUCCCAGCAAAUGGGGGAGGUAGUGACGAAAUCUAACGAUGCGGGCGCCCUUUCUGGGGCCCCGCAAUCGGAAUGGGCACUUUCUAAACAACCUGUUGAGAACCUACUGAAGGGCAAGUCUGGUGCCAGCAGCCGCGGUAAUUCCAGCUUCAGCAGCAUCUAUUAAAGUUGCUGCGGUUAAAAGGCUCGCAGUUGAAUGUCUGUAUCGAGCGCAGGUCAGGUGGACGUU